rnacentral:misc_RNA from 1 species
CGCACAUUGCGCCCGCUAGUAUUCUGGCGGGCAUGCCUGUCUGAGCGUCAUUUCAACCCUCGCGCCUGGCCUCGUGCCGGGGGCGGUGUUGGGGAUCGGCCGCCCGUAACUGGGAGGCCGGCCCCUAAAUGGAGUGGCGACCACGCCGUAGCCUCCUCUGCGUAGUAGUAACUAACCUCGCAGGCGGAGAGCGGUGCGGUCCGCCGUAAAACCCCCAACUCUUCUAAGGUUGACCUCAGAUCAGGUAGGAAUACCCGCUGAACUUAA